rnacentral:sRNA from 1 species
AUAAGGUUACAGAGUGCCACAUGUGUGGGCGAGACAAGGUCUCCAUAGGGUGGGAACCAGGCAGAACUCAGACAUGGCUCAUUCUUUUAGUUUCUGCUCCAUUUUCUUAGUGGUCAAAAUGAGAAACAAAGGAUAAAUGCCCAGCACUAGCAAAAAAGAGGGAACUGUGAUAUUUAGAGAUGGGGAGGAGGGAAAGGUUACCGACUAGCAUCGAAAUGAAUUUCCCAUUCUCCUUUACUAUUGUCGUCUUUCACAAACUCCCAGUGUGUCUAGAGAUAAAACCCCAACAUUUACUGUAGGGGUGCGUUUUUCCAAGGAGAUCCAAGGAUGUGAACUCUGUCUAUGGAAAGUGAAUGUCCAAAGGUAUGCAGGAAACAUUGACUAUAGCAAAGGCUUGCAAAGGGGCAACAACAUGGUGGGUGCAAGUGAAACAGAAAAAAAUGAGCCCAUCUUGGAGAAACUUUCUUGCCCUCUGUCUGGUGAUUUCUGUAGGCUUUUGCCUGGAUUCAUCCUGAUGGUAAUAAUUUCAGGGUUUCCUGAUCUUCAACGAUUGGCACCCGAUGGAGACCUCCUCCAGUUUAGAGUCUUUAUCUGCAAAAUGUCUGGCUGUGGAUCUCUGCACCCACUCCUGUAGGCUGCGGGAGGAAGCCUCUCUAAUGACUACUAGACAAAGGCAUCAAUCAUGAGAAUGGCAAAAUAUCAUUAAAUCAUCUCAAUUCAUUCAGUGAUUAUUUUUAUACCAGCCGUGUUUUGUUCUGAUUGGUACAAUUUUAAACUGGACAUCUGUUGACAUCUAUACAUAAAUUAUACAGUGUAUUAGAAAGUAUCAAUUCAUAUUUUAUUUUUGAGAAAAAUUUUGAGUUGUGCUCUGAUGUGCUUUUAGUAAAUUUGCUUUUUAGAUCAAAAUUCUUUCUUGGAGCUCUAAUAAUGGUCAACUCUCUAAAGCUCAGGGUGACUGUAUUCACUAUAGUCAUUAUCUUAUUCUAAAUGUUGCUUUGUGAAUAAAAUGUUUUGGUUGAAAGGGGUCAUUGAAAAUACUAUCACUCUCUCAUCAUUAUUCAUUAUAUCUCAUUACCAGAAAGACUACAACCACAAAAUGACAUAUACACACAACUGAGUCACUGCUGAAUCCAAGAUAUAAAUCGGCCACUAUAGCUGAUGCAUUAUAAUUUCUGGAAGUGUUUGAUGGAUUGACACAUUCACCUCAUAGUUUUCAUUUGAGAAUAAAGAAUAAUCUGAGAAUGAUUAAUUCCUUUUUAAUUAAAAAAAUCUCCAGAAGCCUUUAUUAGUAGUAGUUAGUGAUUAACAAAGACACACAAUUAGUUGUGGUACAGAGAAUAAGAGAUUGGGGAAGGCUCAGCCCUAAAUGAAACAUCUAUUUCAUAUGU